UACGUAGGGGGCUAGCGUUGUCCGGAAUCAUUGGGCGUAAAGAGCGUGUAGGCGGCCGGUAAGUCCGCUGUAAAGUCAAAGGCUCAACCUUUGAAUGUCAGUGGAUACUGCCGGGCUAGAGUCCGGAAGAGGCGAGUGGAACUCCUGGUGUAGCGGUGGAAUGCGCAGAUAUCAGGAGGAACACCGGUGGCGAAGGCGGGUCUCUGGGCCGUAACUGACGCUGAGGAGCGAAAGCAUGGGGAGCGAACAGG
rnacentral:rRNA from 1 species